rnacentral:miRNA from 1 species
CGAGUAAUAUUAGACAUAUCGAG